CUUGGAUAUUCUAGCUGCUCAUCAGAGCAUUUUUAGCAUACAGUUCCCCGCCUCUGUUAACAGGCUCGGUUGAAAUGACACUGUUAAGAAAACAAAAAGAGGCCCUCAGGUUGGAUACAUACAUUCAAUUCAGUGUGGGUCCCACAAGACCAUAAAGCAACGUUGCAUCAAUAGGUUAUAAUGUGUAUAAUACUGCAGCAGCAGGAAGCACAGACUGCUGUGAGAUUCUAAUAGCCUCCUGGAUGUGAAAACAGAUUUCAUCUCCAAACUGCUACAAUAAAAUCCACUUUCAUAAUGCAGACUGAGCCCUGAUAAGCCUUUAUUUUAAGUUCUUGUGACUGGACUGGGCUGUGUGCAGGCUACGUUUAAUGGCCCUGUUCCUGACCUGGGUUUAUACUUGUCGCUGACUGCUCCAUUUUGGUUUAAAUUAUGAUUAGAAAUAUAUUUUUUUUUCCUGCUAUUCAAAAACCAAAAGUAAUGUUAUUCUAUUCUUG